UCUGAGGAUUUGAUCCUGGUCCAGGAUGAACGCUGGCGGUGUGGAUUAGGCAUGCAAGUCGAUCGCUCAGUGCUUCGCACCGAGCGCGCGGAAGGACGCGGAACGAACGCGGACUGACGCGGAAUUAAUUUUCCGCGAGGUCGGCGUUAAGUCCGCAUAAUUCGGCGCUCUCAAUGCGGGGCAUUGAGAGAGGCGAACGAGUUAGUAACACCUUGGUAACCUGCCCUGAAGAUGGACAUAGCUCGCCGAAAGGCGGGGUAAUUUCCAAUAGCGCCAGUGCUUCGCACUGACAUGCGGAUUAAUGCUGAUACUCCGACUAUCGUUGGAGCCGCUGAUAAAUGCUGAUAAGAAAUUAUCCGCAUAAAUCAGUUUAAAUCGGCAUAAAUCAGCGUGCCAAUGCGCAGCAUUGGUUAAAGAUGCAAAUCGCUUUAGGAUGGGCCUAGGUCUGAUCAGCUAGUUGGUAAGGUAAUGGCUUACCAAGGCUAUGACCAGUAGGGGGGCUGAGAGGCUGUUCCCCAACGACGAGACUGAGAUACGGCUCGUACACCUACGGGUGGCAGCAGUCGAGAAUAUUCCGCAAUGGGCGAAAG
rnacentral:rRNA from 1 species